GAAUGUGAGAGCAAUCUGGCUGUGACACAUGUCACCCCACUGAUCACCAGGGUUGAUUCACCUGAUCUGACUGGCUAGGCAGGUGGCCUCUUCCUACCUCAUUGCUUCAUGUGCAGCGCUCCCAAAGCAGCAUGCUCAAAGAGAACAACCUUCCCCAAUAGAGAAGGAUGUUCUUUGGUCAAGGUUAUACAAGUAGAUGCACUCCCCUGCUAGAACCUCCAAACAAGUACCCAAUGUCCAUUUUUAGGAGAACAUAAGGUAGUCAGGAUUCCAAGACACCAGACACUUCCAAAUAAGGUGCUGCAUAUAGCAGUUUACCUUUCUUU
rnacentral:snRNA from 1 species